GUGCAGCAGGCGCGAAUCCUUUACAAUGUCUUCACGGACGAUAGGGGAAUCCUGAGUGCUCUAGCAUUGCUAGAGCUCUUGCUUACUGAAAAAAAGGUAGGCGAAUAAGUGGUGGGUAAGACGGGUGCCAGCCGCCGCGGUAAUACCCGCGCCACAAGUGGUGACCACGUUUAUUGGGUCUAAAGCGUUCGUAGCCGGCCUGAUAAAUUCUCGGUGAAAUCCUGUGUAAAUCAUAGGGCGUGCCGGGAAGACUGUCAAGCGUAGGAACCGGGAGAGGCUGAGGGUACUCCGAGGAGUAGGGGUUAAAUGCCGUUAUGGUUUAACCCUACGGUUUAACAAUCCU
rnacentral:rRNA from 1 species